rnacentral:lncRNA from 1 species
UUCCACAUUUGCACCUGGUGUUUUCUUUGUUACAGAUCACAAUAUUCAGUGUUUGAAUUUUGUCUUUUCUAGCUUAAGAGAAGAAUGUUGAGGGCAAGUUUAGUAAUUUCUGACUUUUCUCACAUUUUCGAAAGAGGCACUUGCAUUAGAAAGUAAAAAAUCUUUAAGCUUUCCAGAAAUAAUCCCUUUGAGGAAACAUCUCAGAAAUAACGUUUAAACGUAUCUUUGUCUAAUGUGCAUAUACUAAGAAAAAAUACCUCUUUAAGUAGAUUAGGGCUGCUUUUAAUAAUUGAAGUGUGUGAUCACAUUUCAAACUCAAUUCUUCAUCUUGAUCUUCAGAUAUUUAACAGAAUAUUUGGGUCAGAUGGUCAACAACUGCACAUAUUUCUUUUUUCUUCUUUGACUUAAGUGAAGGGAGUAACAAGAGAGUUUUGUCUGCAGGAGAAAGAGUUGGGGGUGGGGUGGGGAGUCAACAAAUAUGUCCCACCACCUGUUUCUAUAAAGUUUUGUUGGAACAUAUCCAUGCCCAUUUCGUAACUUGUUGACUGUGCAUACAGCCUAUGCUCACUUUCAUGCUAAAACAGCUGAAUUGAGUAGUUGCAACAGAGAUAUGACUUUCAAAGCCUAACAUAAUUGCUGCCUGGUCCUGUAUAAAAACAACUGUGGAUCCCUGACAUUUGACUAUAACCAAUAUUAGUUGGGAAGGCCAGUGGAAAGGCAUGUGGCCACAUGGAGGAGGCUAAAGUAAAAGUGUUUGAUAAAUAAUCCAGAGGAUGGCUACUUAGUUCUUAAUUAAUUUGUAGUUACAUAUUUUCUCGAUUUGUACAAUUGCUGAGAUCUGUUACAUUAUUUGUAAAUAAAACUAUCCUCGUUGACAUAA